rnacentral:rRNA from 1 species
AGAACGAACGCUGGCGGCAGGCCUAAUACAUGCAAGUCGAACGCCUGUAGCAAUACAGGAGUGGCAGACGGGUGAGUAACACGUGGGAACGUGCCCUUUGGUACGGAACAACUCCGGGAAACUGGAGCUAAUACCGUAUGUGCCCUUCGGGGGAAAGAUUUAUCGCCAAAGGAUCGGCCCGCGUCUGAUUAGCUAGUUGGCGGGGUAAUGGCCCACCAAGGCGACGAUCAGUAGCUGGUCUGAGAGGAUGACCAGCCACACUGGGACUGAGACACGGCCCAGACUCCUACGGGAGGCAGCAGUAGGGAAUAUUGGACAAUGGGCGAAAGCCUGAUCCAGCCAUGCCGCGUGAGUGAUGAAGGCCUUAGGGUUGUAAAGCUCUUUCGCCAGGGACGAUAAUGACGGUACCUGGAUAAGAAGCCCCGGCUAACUUCGUGCCAGCAGCCGC